rnacentral:rRNA from 1 species
GCCCUUUUCCGGUUGAUCCCGCCGGAAGCCAUUGCUAUCAGGGUUUGACUAAGCCAUGCGAGUCGAGAGGUGUAAGACCUCGGCAUACUGCUCAGUAACACGUGGUUAACCUGCCCUAAGGUGGAGCAUACUCCCGGGAAACUGGGGCUAAUCCUCCAUAGUGGAUGUAUCCUGGAAUGGUAUAUCCUCGAAAGAUCCGUCGCCUUAGGAUGGGACUGCGUCCGAUUAGGUUGUUGGCGGGGUAACGGCCCACCAAGCCAUUGAUCGGUACGGGUUGUGGGAGCAAGAUCCCGGAGAUGGAUUCUGAGACAUGAAUCCAGGCCCUACGGGGCGCAGCAGGCGCGCAAACUUUACAAUGCGAGCAAUCGUGAUAAGGAAACCCUGAGUGCCUGUCGAUGCAGGCUGUUCAUAUAUCUAAAUCAUAUGUGAAGAAAGGGCAGGGCAAGACCGGUGCCAGCCGCCGCGGUAAUACCGGCUGCUCGAGUGAUGGCCACUAUUACUGGGUUUAAAGCGUCCGUAGCUUGACUGUUAGGUCUCUUGGGAAAUCUUCGCGCUCAACGUGAAGGCGUCUAAGAGAUACCGGCAGUCUUGGAACUGGGAGAGGUAAACCGUACUUCGGGGGUAGGAGUGAAAUCUUGUAAUCCUCGAGGGACGACCUAUGGCGAAGGCAGUUUACCAGAACAGCUUCGACAGUGAGGGACGA